rnacentral:lncRNA from 10 species
GGGAGAUAAGGGUGGAGCCCUUUUAUAGGAUUUGGGUAGUGGGGGUGAUUUUUGAGCCAGGAUGAGCUAGGAAAAGGACUUUCACAAGGUAAGGUCAUCACUUAAGGCAAGACCCGGGCAUUUACACUUCUUUUGUGGUGGAAUGUCAUCAGUUAAGGUGGGGCAGGGCAUAUUCACUUCUUUUGUGAUUCUUCAGUUACUUCAGGCCAUCUGGGCAUAUACGUGCAAGUCACAGGGGAUGCGAUGGCUUGGCUUGGGCUCAGAGGCCUGAUAUUCCUGACUUCUUAUAUUAAUAAGAAAAAUAAAACACAAUAGUGUUGAAGUGUUGGAGCGGCGGAAAUUUUUGGGGGGUGGUAUGGAGAG